AACGUAGGAGACAAACGUUAUCCGGAGUUACUGGGCGUAAAGGGCGUGUAGGUGGUUUCGUAAGUCUGGCGUGAAAUUUUUCGGCUUAACCGGGAAAGGUCGUCGGAUACUGCAGGACUAGAGGACGGUAGAGGCGUGUGGAAUUCCGGGUGUAGUGGUGAAAUGCGUAGAGAUCCGGAGGAACACCAGUGGCGAAGGCGACACGCUGGGCCGUACCUGACACUGAGGCGCGAUAGCAUGGGGAGCAAACAGG
rnacentral:rRNA from 1 species